rnacentral:rRNA from 1 species
GAUGAACGCUAGCGAUAGGCUUAACACAUGCAAGUCGAGGGGCAGCAUGGUCUUAGCUUGCUAAGACUGAUGGCGACCGGCGCACGGGUGCGUAACGCGUAUGCAACUUGCCUCACAGAGGGGGAUAACCCGUCGAAAGACGGACUAAUACCGCGUACACUCUAUUUUGGGCAUCCAAGGUAGAGGAAAUGAAAUUCGCUGUGAGAUAGGCAUGCGUCCCAUUAGCUAGUUGGUGAGGUAACGGCUCACCAAGGCGACGAUGGGUAGGGGAACUGAGAGGUUGAACCCCCACACUGGUACUGAGACACGGACCAGACGCCUACGGGAGGCAGCAGUGAGGAAUAUUGGUCAAUGGGCGAGGGCCUGAACCAGCCAAGUCGCGUGAAGGAUGACUGUCUUAUGGAUUGUAAACUUCUUUUGUAGGGGAAUAAAGAGGGGCACGUGUGCCCCAGUGAAUGUACCCUACGAAUAAGCAUCGGCUAACUCCGUG